GGAGGCUAUCUUUUCCUCGGGAUCAAGAAGGUCCAUCAUCCGGAUCAUCAUCAAGACCAUCUCCGAGUCCAUUAUCUCUACAUGGAUCCUCACCCAUUGAAGAUAUUGCGGGGACUUCUCAAAUGGAUCCAUCGCAGGAUCGAGAUGCAUCGCCAGACCUAG